UGCGCCGGGGCUACAGUGCUGUGGUGCCAGUGUAGAUACCCUGGUUGAUUACAGUGCUGUGAUUGGCCUCCAGGAGGUGUCCCACAAUGCCUGUUCUUGCCUCUCUUGUCAUUGGUUUGAACUCUGUAGCCCUGCCCUCAGGUGACCAACCGUGAGCCCCUCCUUUCCCCUCCCCCCCCAAUUCUUUGGGAAUUUUGAAAGUCUCCUUCCUGUUUGCUCGGUGACUCGUGCAGUGGUCUCAGCAUAUCUUUCCAGGUGACUAUGCCUGCUCCACACACUGGGCGACCCCCCACAUGGAGCAAUGCCUAACUGCUGGACCUCUUCAGCAUUUGGGGAGAGGAGUCUGUCCAGUACCAGCUGCUCUCCAGCUGUAGGAGUUAUGAUACUUACAGACAGAUUUCAUGAUGCAUGACAGAAAGGGGCCAUGACCAGGACACGCUGCAGUGCAGUGUCAAAGUGAAGGACCUGUGGAAUGCCUUCCACAAGGCAUUGGAAGCAAAAUGCCGCUCCGGUGCUGUGCCCACGAGCUGCCAGUUUUACAAAGAGCUGUAUGCCAUACUAGGUGGCGACCCCACCUCCACUGCAUAGGCCACCAGUCGAUCGAGCAAGGAGGAGGAAAUCUUGGAUGAAGAGGGGGAGGGAGACCCAGAGGCAGAGGACAACUCGGAGGUCAGAGCAGCCAGGAGCUCUUCUCUACCUUGGAGGACACUAGCCAGUCACAGCUGUCGGAUCUUGGCAAAGUGCAAACAGAAGAAGAGGCCCAUGAUAUGGCCUGGGGAGCCCAGCCUCCCUCUUUGUUAUUGCUGGCUGAACAGCUGCGCACAACUAGAAAGCGGCCACUAAGAACUAAAGAGGACUUUCUGUGUGAAGUCACAAUGCUCUCCGUGGCCAAAAAAAAGAAUUGAAGGAGUGCCAGGACAGUGAGAAGAGGGGCCGAAAGGAGAACGCAGCACGUCAGAAUAAAGCCUCGGAGCAGCUCUUAAACGUUGUGGAGUGCCAAGCAGACAGGCUCCAGACGCUAUUAGCACUGCAAAUCAAGCAUUUCCGCACCUGCCCUCCCUUGCAGCCGCUGUCGCAAAACUCUUUCCCUUGCACCUCCCAGACACUGCCAGCACACUCUUAUCAGCCUCCUGGUUUCAGUCUGUACCCUCUGCAUUCCACUCCUGCCCCAUCACAGUCCAGCCCUGCGCACUCCCAGUACCCACUGCACUCAACACCCGUCCCUCUGCAAUUUAGCCCUGCUGAAGUACAGUACCUA